UUGGGCGGCGGAUCUGCAGAGUUUCGAGGUUCUGUCAAGUUCGUUGCCCGCCGCCCAACUUGAAGCCUCAUUUACCUUUCGGCUACCUGAUUUGGAUAAAUGGAGAAAAACCGGGGCCUCUAACUCAUAAUGCCCUCCCGCGUUCAAGAUGCCAGUUUUGGGGCGGAGAUUUCUAAAUCAAAGCCUACAUCCCGCGCGGGAAUAUCUGCUGGUGAGGAAGUAGGCUCAGAGAAAUUAAGCAGCUUUCC
rnacentral:lncRNA from 1 species